rnacentral:lncRNA from 1 species
GGUACCAAAAAUUGCACAUAAUGCUCUCCAGCAAGAAUACAAUGAGAGUGCAGGUAAAAGGCAAUACAACACGGUAAGGGAAAAAAGAUUUAAUGCAGCAUUAGCAAGAGAUUUAUUUUUGAAUCUCAUAAGUUUUAAAAGAAUAUUUUCUUUCUAAACAAUUUGCAUACAAAAUCUGCAGGUGCUGAAAAUUUUGUAUGAAGGCAACGAACAUAUGUAGUCACUUAAAAAUCAAUCAAUGGAUAUUGUGAGGUUAGUUUGUAUUCAUUUACAAAUUAUGAUGACAUAGCAAACUAACAUGCUGUAUAAUGCUUUCUAACAGGUUGCAUUGCUUGGACAAAACAUUGCGGGAGGACAAGAGCAACACUAUGUUGCUA